UACGUAGGGGUCCGAGCGUUGUCCGGAAUUACUGGGCGUAAAGAGCUCGUAGGUGGUUUGUCGCGUUGUUCGUGAAAACUCACAGCUCAACUGUGGGCGUGCGGGCGAUACGGGCAGACUGGAGUACUGCAGGGGAGACUGGAAUUCCUGGUGUAGCGGUGGAAUGCGCAGAUAUCAGGAGGAACACCGGUGGCGAAGGCGGGUCUCGUGGGCCGUAAGCUGGACGCUGGAGGAGCGAAAGCGUGGGGAGCGAACAGGA
rnacentral:rRNA from 1 species